CUUGAUGGAGGAGGAAGCCUCAACACAGAAUUUUAAAGCAAAACAAAUGGACCCUUAACAAGGCAAAAAUGUGUGUGGCGCAUCAUCUGGACUGAAGUAUGUGCACCCGUCAAGAGCAAUUUCUUUGAUGGCUUGAAGAGCUCGCUGAGCUCUGCGGUGGAGACAGUGGAGACAGUGGAGAUGGUGGAGACGGUGGAGAUGGUGGAGACGGUGGAGACGAUGGAGACGGUGGAGACAGGGAAGAAGGAG
rnacentral:lncRNA from 1 species